UCCGGCUUAUCACCGGCGGUUUCUUUAGAGUGCUCAACUAAAUGAUGGCAACUAAAGACGAGGGUUGCGCUCGUUGCGGGACUUAACCCAACAUCUCACGACACGAGCUGACGACAGCCAUGCAGCACCUGUCUCCGGUCCAGCCGAACUGAAGGACUCCAUCUCUGGUGUCCGCGACCGGGAUGUCAAGGGUUGGUAAGGUUCUGCGCGUUGCUUCGAAUUAAACAACAUGCUCCGCUGCUUGUGCGGGGCCCCGUCAAUUCCUUUGAGUUUUAGCCUUGCGGCCGUACUCCCCAGGCGGGGUGCUUAAUGCGUUAGCUUCGGCACGGAGGGAGUCGACACCCCCCACACCUAGCACCCAUCGUUUACGGCGUGGACUAC
rnacentral:misc_RNA from 1 species